GGUUAAGUUCAGUGUUAGAGCACUUGCCUAGCAUGCAUGAGGUCCUGAGUUGGAUCCCCAGCAUUGCCCA
rnacentral:tRNA from 1 species